UACGAAGGGGGCUAGCGUUGUUCGGAUUUACUGGGCGUAAAGCGCACGUAGGCGGAUCGUUAAGUCGGGGGUGAAAUCCUGGAGCUCAACUCCAGAACUGCCUUCGAUACUGGCGAUCUUGAGUCCGGAAGAGGUGAGUGGAACUCCUAGUGUAGAGGUGGAAUUCGUAGAUAUUCGGAAGAACACCAGUGGCGAAGGCGGCUCACUGGCCCGGUACUGACGCUGAGGUGCGAAAGCGUGGGGAGCAAACAGG
rnacentral:rRNA from 1 species